rnacentral:rRNA from 1 species
CUACAGGGGUAUCUAAUCCUGUUUGCUCCCCACGCUUUCGCGCCUCAGCGUCAGUGUCGGACCAGUUGGCCGCCUUCGCCACCGGUGUUCUUGCGAAUAUCUACGAAUUUCACCUCUACACUCGCAGUUCCACCAACCUCUUCCGAACUCAAGUCUCCCAGUAUCGAAGGCAAUUCUGUGGUUGAGCCACAGGCUUUCACCCCCGACUUAAAAGACCGCCUACGCGCCCUUUACGCCCAGUGAUUCCGAGCAACGCUAGCCCCCUUCGUAUUACCGCGGCUGCUGGCAC